UACGGAGGGUGCAAGCGUUAUCCGGAUUUACUGGGUUUAAAGGGUGCGUAGGUGGGUUGGUAAGUCAGUGGUGAAAUACUUUCGCUUAACGAAGGAACUGCCAUUGAUACUAUCAAUCUUGAAUGUAGUGGAGGUAGGCGGAAUGCGUCAUGUAGCGGUGAAAUGCUUAGAUAUGACGCAGAACACCAAUUGCGAAGGCAGCUUGCUACACUACUAUUGACACUGAGGCACGGAAAGCGUGGGGAUCAAACAGG
rnacentral:rRNA from 1 species